UCCUGCGGGAGAGGCCUGUGCUCUGGUGGCUGCGCGGGCCCGUUCCGGCGGGGCCCGGGCCCGGGCCCUCCCGCGGGGCCCGGCGGCGCGGGGGAGCUUGGUGCGUGCUUCCCGCAACGGGGCGGCUGCUCUCUGCGCCUCGGGGCGAUGGGUGCCCCGCUCUCCAGUGCCUCUCCGCAGAGCCGGGACGCCGGCCCCGGAGGGAGCAACAGCCGCCUUAGCCUCGCCGGCGCGGGGAGCCGGGAGCGGGGGGGCCUGCAGCCGGACCGGCUGGAGGGGCUGCCAUGGCACGGGGGUGCCUGGCUUCCUCCGCGCCUGGUACCAGAGCGGGCCGCGACCCGCACCGGCCCCCAGAGCCGUGCGGUGGGGCGGGGAGUUGCUGGCGCUGCAGCCGGGCGGUGUCUGUUUCCAGGGCCGUGCCCCGUGGGCUCUGCGGAGCCCUUUACGCCCUGAUGAUUUCUGUCAUCGUCCUUUUCUAACGGCGCCUCUGGGUGUGCGGUUUUCUCCUCUUUCAAUGCGUCUGCCCGAGCAGCUCCUCUCGAGCUGACGUCCCCCAGACUCGCCUCCUCCAGCACGCAGCUGAUACGGUGGGGAAGUCCUUGUCCAGACCCCGUGGAUAAACCUGUCUUCAUUUUUUGGACGUUAUUUGGCCGUCACCCUUCUGUUCCUGCGUUCUGUAUAACAUGCUUUGUUGUGGAGCAUGGGCGAAUUCCUCAUGGAUACGCAAAUUAAUGAAGUGUAUAUAUAUGCGUUGUACACUGUCGCUUUGAAGCAGGGAAGCCACAUGCUGCGGAAGCGGUCCUGGUUCCUUCUGUCCCUGCACAGCGGACAGCAGCUGUGGUGAGCUCCGUGUCCCUGGCAGUGAAGUUUGGCACCAUGUUUCACUUCUUUGUGACCUCAGCUCUUUCUGUUUUUCAAAACCAUGGUUUUUCUUGAGAAGUUUAGUUCCAUUUCAAUCAACUGAAGUUUAUUGGAAACUCUUUAAACCAUCCUCCAGGCACGUUGGUUUUUGAUUUGUUCCCGUUUCUUGUUUUACGAUGGUUUAUUGCUCAGCACUGAAUUGUCAAAAUGCCACCAGCGGGGCGUACAAGAGCAGUACUGUAACUUUCUAUGGCUUCCAUUUACAAAAUAAACCUCUCUUGAAGCAGUGGAUUCACAACAUGGGCCAGGACAUGGGAACGCCUUUCAAGCAUCAGCGACUGUGUUCAAAGCAUUUUGAGGACAGUUCUUUUGAAAUUGACCCCUUAAAAAUUAGAAAAAACAGAUGUCUGUUGAAAGAAGCUGUUCCCAAAAAAAUCAUUUUGGGUGAAGACGGAAACUGGCUUGUUGGCACACCUCAGGGUUUCUGUGGUGCCUGGGACAUUUAAUAAUGGUGCAGUGUGUGAGGGGAAGGACUUGGAAGAUUGGCAGAAACAACUUUACAAGAAGGUGAUAAAGGAGAAUUAUGAAUCUUUAACCACGCUGGGUAAAGGUUAGUUUUUCCUUUCUCGCUGAAGGCUCACAGAUCUAUGCAGUUUCUGGCCUGGCUCUUGUCUAACAGUCACUCCUCAAAUCCCUUGAUUCCUGCUGAAUUAAUAUUUAGAUGCUUCGGAAUCUUUGUGAGAUGAUAAGCUCCACAGUCUUUUCUUUAAAGAUUGAAGGACAGUGGCUUUUCUAAUGCCUCCGCAACUGCUGCCUCCCUGUGCUCUGUUGUUGUCAGGUACUCAGUCUGUGUGUGUAGGUGAUACCUUGUCUGCGUGAUACGGGUAGAACAGUGGCGAGUGGAAGGCUCUGCUGCUGGUGAUGCACGUGUUGACUAAAACAAGGAACAAAGGAGAGUGGAAGAGGUUAAGAGACAUGAGCUCAGGAGCAGCAGUGGCAUGUGUUAUCCUGAGUCCUGUGGACUUGUUAUAGUUGUUAGUAUUUUCAUCAGCCCCAAAUCCCGAUGUAUGUUUGUUCUUGUGAUUUGCUAAGAGUGUUGAACUACUUUUGCUGCAGAAAUAGUUAGAUAACAUGAAUGAUGACCGAGAAAAUGAAGAAGUCUUACUGGUUAGUUUUAAGUGCCCAACUAUACAUUUGUUUGAAGUAGUUGUUUUUUAAUUUGAAGAUGUGAGCCCUCACUGGCUCCUCAGCGUUCAGGUAAUUCCCUGGAUUAACAGAAGAAGAACUUGCUGUAUUUAGGAGCUAGAAGUGCCUUUACUUGUCCUUUAGACUGCAGGAACACAAGUGCUGUGAACCCCUAGAGCCUGAGUUGUCACAUACUCUAGUUUGCACUUGGUGCCACACUUCGGUUCCGUUUAAGAAACACUGAUUUAGCCUUACCUCAUUCUGUUACUACUUCUGCACUUGCAAAUUUGAAAUUACAUAAAGUAAUGAGACAAUGUGAUUCCACUUUCUUUUUUAUUCUUUACAUACCUUCUAUUUUUUAUAGCAGAAAAGCUAGAGUCUGCAGACAGCUGCUCUAAAGCUCUGAUCUGUUAAAAAAGUAUGUGCUGUGUGUUGCAUGGGGAGGGAUUAGUUGGGGGAAAAUAAGUUCAUGUAUCAGAAAGACAGUUAGGACUGAAUUUGGCACCAAACAGCUGAAUUAGGUUUUAAGGGUGCAAUCAGUUCAAGACUUUCCACUUUUGAACAUCUAACUUUCAAAAAUAUUCCAGAAAUUAUAUUCAAAAGUUGAAAAAUUGGAAGACAAAUGCUGCUCGCCUGCUUCCCAGCCACCCUCUGCAGAUGCCAGAGCAACUGCAUUUGCUGUUACGCUCUUGCUGGGUCUUUCCCUGGAGGACAAGGGAGAUGUGCUUUUAGACAGUGGGUUGUGCAGGGAUUUGCUAGAAAACAGCAUCACUAAGUCUUUUCUUACAGUUUUAGGAACAACUGGAAAAAUACUGCCUUUUGCUUUCUCAAAGAACAAUAUUUUUGAUGUAAAUUAACAAAAAUGACUCAUGUUACAGAAGAAAGGCACAAGUAAACUACAGGGCUCAGAAGCUUAGAGUGAAGAGGCUGACAAGCUGUCCUCAGGACGGGUCUUUGUGCAACAUGUCCUUUGUCUGCAUCGAUACAAUUAAAGUAGCUUAGGAAAUGUCUUUGUAAUAACAGGGGGGAAAAAAAAAAUCAGAGGACAAUAAUAACUGUCAUCUCCGUGUUCUGUUCCUUGUGCAGACUAUGCUGUUCCCAAAAGCAAUAUCCAGGUGAGAGGAACACUGCCUGUCAAGCAUCAGCAGGAUUUUGAGGAAAGGCAGAUUACCACAAGUCUUGGUGCAGGCUGCGGCAGUCCUGUGAUCAGAUCCGAGUUGCAGAGUCACGCGAAGAGUGCAGAAAAUGCAGAACUGCAGGGAUCAUUCUCAGGAGGAACCUGAAACCAGAGUUGCCAAAUUUUGGACAAGGGGGUAACAUGCAAGAGUCAUCAUAAUUCAGCAACAGGUCAGGCAAAUCCAAUGGGAAGCAGAAGAGGCAACAGCUCUCUUGAGGAAGAACCUAAUGAAUUCAAAGAGAUCCUCUUUUAUCAGCAGACCUAUGCAGGAGAGAGACUGUAUCUGUGUACAGAAUGUCAGAAAUUUUUAAUUUUUUUUUUAAUUUUUAAAUUGAAGAUUGGACUUCUAAAAUACAAACAAAUUCACACUAAACAUCAUCGGGUAUCAUCUUAUAUAUGCACAGACUGCGGUAAAAACUUUGGUCGCCACACAGUCUUGAUUCGCCACCAGAGAACUCACACAGGGAGAGCAGCCUUACAAGUGUACAGAAUGUGAAAAAAAGUUUUAUGGAAAAACCGAGACUCACUAAUCACUUGCAAACUCAUAACAUAUACAUGUAAUCAGUGUGCCAGAA